rnacentral:rRNA from 1 species
UUGAACGCUGGCGGCAUGCCUUAUACAUGCAAGUCGAACGGCAGCAUGAUCUAGCUUGCUAGAUUGAUGGCGAGUGGCGAACGGGUGAGUAAUACAUCGGAACGUGCCCUGUAGUGGGGGAUAACUAGUCGAAAGAUUAGCUAAUACCGCAUACGACCUGAGUGUGAAAGUGGGGGACCGCAAGGCCUCAUGCUAUAGGAGCGGCCGAUGUCUGAUUAGCUAGUUGGUGAGGUAAAGGCUCACCAAGGCGACGAUCAGUAGCUGGUCUGAGAGGACGAUCAGCGACACUGGGACUGAGACACGGCCCAGACUCCUACGGGAGGCAGCAGUGGGGAAUUUUGGACAAUGGGCGAAAGCCUGAUCCAGCAAUGCCGCGUGUGUGAAGAAGGCCUUCGGGUUGUAAAGCACUUUUGUCCGGAAAGAAAUGGCUCUGGUUAAUACCUGGGGUCGAUGACGGUACCGGAAGAAUAAGGACCGGCUAACUACGUG